rnacentral:rRNA from 1 species
UCCGUAGGUGAACCUGGGGAAGGAUCAUAG